rnacentral:tRNA from 1 species
GCUCAGAUGGCUCAGAAGGUAAAGCGUCUGCCUACAAUGUGGGAGACCCAGGUUCGAUCCCUGGGUUGGGAA